GCCUUCCUGGUGUAGUGGUCAGCACGCUCGACGCGUAACCCAGAGGUCCGUGGUUCGAGUCUCGGCGAAGGCG
rnacentral:tRNA from 1 species